UACGUAGGGUGCAAGCGUUGUCCGGAAUUAUUGGGCGUAAAGAGCUCGUAGGCGGUGUGUCGCGUCGGCCGUGAAAACCUGCAGCUUAACUGUGGGCUUGCGGUCGAUACGGGCAUCACUGGAGUUCGGCAGGGGAGACUGGAAUUCCUGGUGUAGCGGUGAAAUGCGUAGAUAUCUGGAGGAACACCGGUGGCGAAGGCGGCAUCCUCGGGACCGGCAUUGACGCUGAGGAGCGAAAGCGUGGGUAGCAAACAGGA
rnacentral:rRNA from 1 species